rnacentral:lncRNA from 1 species
GAUCAGUAGAGGAUAUUGGAUUCUAAAUUACAUUGCAUCAAAUGUUUUAAUUCUUUGUGCACGAGUCCCCAAAUAAAAAAAGAAAGGGAAUAGUUAAAUAAGUGUAUUAGAUUUGAGAAAAUCCCAUUUUCCCUUGUUCCUGAACUCUCGACUUUUCUCCCAAAAGAAAACAUAACCAUCAUCUUCCUCUUUCAAGUUGAAUUCGUAGAGAAAUCUCAAGCAGAAGCUGCGUCUCUUUAAAAGAAAAGGUGAUUUCUUUAAUUUUCUAUUCCUCUAUGGUUCUAGGUUGAAGAAAAAUUUAUGCUUUGAAAUCUAGGGUUUUCGAAAAUUUGGGAGUUUCAUGCUAGAGUUGAAGUAUGAUUCUAAUAUUGAUAUAUAUUAUGUUUUUGAUAUUCCUAAGCAUGGUUGUGGUGGUUAAUUGCAGUAAUUGUUACUUGAUUUUGAAUUUUUCUCAAGUUAGUGUAAACCCUAGGUUGAGUUCGAAAAUUUUAAUUAUGUUCUUGAAUAAUUGAGUUCAUAUAUGAGUUCUUUAGCUAGAAUUAUGUUAUAUAUGAAUAUAUUAUGAGUUUGCACCAUAGGGUUUGUGAGAUUGAUUUUGUUAGUUUAGGGGAAGUUGGGGCUUUUGAGUUGAGAAGGGUUAUAUGCUAUUGUUUGAUGGAUAUAAGUAUAUUAUAGUGAUUCUAUAAAUUAUUAAGAGUAUAACAGCCUUUACUACCCAAUUCUUUUGUACAGCUCUAUAGUAUAAAGAGCAGGGAAUUGAUAAAGUUUCUAUUUUUAUGCAUAUGGAUGAGAUUAGUGACUUUAAUAAUUGAGUUUAAAUUGAGAUUAUCAUUGAGAUUUUAUUUCAAAGAGGUUGAGGAGAUUGAUAAAGUUAGUUUAUUAAACUAAAUAUGUAUCUAUUCAUUGAGAAUUGACAAACAUCUAUGAGCUUAUUCUUUUUUUUCCUUAUUGAGUUAAGAGGAUGAGUGGUGUUAUUGUAUUGAUGAUAUGAUGUGAGGAAAUGUUAGAAUAAUAAGUUAAUAGGAAACAUGAGUUAUUGUUAUAAUAUUAGAUAUAUAUAUAUAAUAUAUAUAUAUAUAUAUUUUAUAUUAUUAAAUAUUUUAUCUAUUUAAAGGUUCCGGCUAGGAACGAGCCUGACACUAGAGUACGAAGUAAGAGAAACAUAUCAGGUGGGCUUACUAACUCAAGAAACAAUGAUGCAUACUUUAUUAUAUAAAGUUUAAGUGUAUGCAUUUAUUUUCAAAUUGUUGACUUGCCAAUGUUUAAGAUUUGUAUGAUACCAUCUACAUAGAAGAACGAAUUCGGGUCCUGAGCGAGUCAGGAUUUGUGUACACAGAGUGACGGUUAACCUUGAGUUAGCUUGUCGUUACGUUUGGGAAGGAGGCCUACUUCUCAACGUGUUUAUUGAGACUAGUAGAUAUGGUACAUACUUACAUGAGAACUUAGUCUGCGCAGACACUUUCAAAUACUAUGUAAAAACAGUUUAGCAAACACAGGUUGCUUCAGAAAAUCCCUUGUGUAUUGCUUAAAGUGGCAAGUUCAAUAUAUAGCAUUAUCAUGCAGAGUUUUAAAUGUUUUCGGCAUAUGUUCACUGAGUGCUUGUGGUACUCAGCCCUGCAUAUCUUUUUAAAUGUGCAGGUUAAGUUUGGAUGAAGAUGGAAGUGUGCUGAGCUGGAGCUUUUUGUUUAUGUAAAUAGUAAUAGGCUCAGGAUGUUGUGUCUUCAUACAUAAUGUCCAAUGAUGUACUCCGCUGCAACACUUUAUUUCUCUUAUCACUUUUGACGUGUUGUAGAAUGUUUUAAAACCUUAACCUGUAUAUGAGCGUGAUAAAUCUUGGUUAUGAUAUUUAUUUGGUCUAAACUUCUUUUGUUAAAGUUUGAUGGCUAUGUAUGUGAGUUAAUUAUACGUUUGUCUUAGUUUCCUUUCAAUUACUUUCCAUC